UACGUAGGGGGCGAGCGUUGUCCGGAUUUAUUGGGCGUAAAGAGCGUGUAGGCGGCCAGGUAGGUCCGUUGUGAAAACUCGAGGCUCAACCUCGAGACGUCGAUGGAAACCAUCUGGCUAGAGUCCGGAAGAGGAGAGUGGAAUUCCUGGUGUAGCGGUGAAAUGCGCAGAUAUCAGGAAGAACACCAAUGGCGAAAGCAGCUCUCUGGGUCGGUACUGACGCUGAGACGCGAAAGCGUGGGGAGCGAACAGG
rnacentral:rRNA from 1 species